rnacentral:ribozyme from 1 species
AAAAAAAAAAAAAAAAAAAAAAAAAAAAAAAAAAUGUCUGGAAACACAUUAGUAAGCUACCUCAUCCCAUAUCGUUCACAGCCCAAUCCCCUUCCUGAUGUUUACCCUACCUCAAAUGAUUCAAAUUCGUCAAAUUAUU